rnacentral:rRNA from 1 species
AGUGAACGCUGGCGGUAGGCCUAACACAUGCAAGUCGAACGGCAGCACAGGAGAGCUUGCUCCCUGGGUGGCGAGUGGCGGACGGGUGAGGAAUACAUCGGAAUCUACUCUGUCGUGGGGGAUAACGUAGGGAAACUUACGCUAAUACAGCAUACGACCUACGGGUGAAAGCAGGGGAUCUUCGGACCUUGCGCGAUUGAAUGAGCCGAUGUCGGAUUAGCUAGUUGGAGGGGUAAAGGCCCACCAAGGCGACGAUCCGUAGCUGGUCUGAGAGGAUGAUCAGCCACACUGGAACUGAGACACGGUCCAGACUCCUACGGGAGGCAGCAGUGGGGAAUAUUGGACAAUGGGCGCAAGCCUGAUCCAGCCAUACCGCGUGGGUGAAGAAGGCCUUCGGGUUGUAAAGCCCUUUUGUUGGGAAAGAAAUCCAGCUGGCUAAUACCCGGUUGGGAUGACGGUACCCAAAGAAUAAGCACCGGCUAACUUCGUGCCAGCAGCCGCUGUAA